rnacentral:rRNA from 1 species
UACAGAGGUCUCAAGCGUUGUUCGGAAUCACUGGGCGUAAAGGGUGUGUAGGCGGUGUGCUAAGUCAGAUGUGAAAGCCCGGGGCUCAACCUUGGAACUGCAUCCGAUACUGGCAUGCUAGAGAAUUGGAGAGGAGUCUAGAAUUCACGGUGUAGCAGUGAAAUGCGUAGAUAUCGUGAGGAAUACCAAGUGCGAAGGCAGGACUCUGGACAUUUUCUGACGCUGAGACACGAAGGCCAGGGGAGCAAACGGG